rnacentral:rRNA from 1 species
AUUGAACGCUGGCGGCAGGCCUAACACAUGCAAGUCGAGCGAGCGGCGGACGGGUGAGUAAUUUCUGGGUCACUGCCUGAUGGAGGGGGAUAACUACUGGAAACGGUAGCUAAUACCGCAUACCCUCAGCUGUGUCCAGAUGGGAUUAGCUAGUCGGUGGGGUAAUGGCUCACCUCGGCGACGAUCCCUAGCUGUUCUGUGAGGAUGACCAGCCACACGGGACCGGAGACAGGCUCCAGAGUCCCACGGGAGGCAGCAGGGGGGAAUAUUGCACAAUGGGGGCAUGCUUGAUGCAGCCAUGCCGGGUGUGUGAAGAAGGCCUUCGGGUUGUAAAGCACUUUCAGCGGGGAGGCGUUACCCGCAGAAGAAGCACCGGCUAACUCCGUGCCAGCAGCCGCGGUAAAC